rnacentral:lncRNA from 1 species
GGAGCGCGCCCUCCUCCGCAUCCUUCUGGGGCGAAGGCUCCCUCCGAGGCUGAGGCCGGGUCUUGCUCAACUUCCUCCGCCCCCACCCGCCCCCGGCACUGAGCCCAGAGCUGGCAUCGAUGACAAAAGCGUGAGGGGUGUUUGCCACUGGGAGACGCCAGAGGUGUGUGCCUGAGUGGGCGGCGGGGGUGUCUGGAGGAGUCAUAAGAAUCUCCUUUACAGCAGACACAGUAAAAACCCAUGUUGCCUCUGGCCCGACGACACAGAACUUUCCUGAUGGUGCAGAACCUUGGCUCACACACAGCCGCCUGCAGCCGGUGCAGAGGAAAGCGCUCAGCAUCUGAAGAUUCGACUGCAGUCAGGCUCAGGGACGGGGCGGCCUCCGCCUGUCUGGCCUUCUCAGGUGAUUGAUGGUGGGGACGCAGUGAAAUGCAAGCUCAUCCGGUUGUUUUCAGGUGGUGGGGGCUCUGGAGCCGGACCACCUGAGUUCAGAUCCUUGCCCUACCACUUACCACCUGUGCCCCCUUGGACAAACCCUUCAACCUCACUGGGCCUUGGCUUCCUCCUCUGUAAAAUGGGGGCAAAAACAGACCCUGCCUCUUGUAAGAAGCCCCUUGGCCGGACAUGGCGCACACGCUCAUAACUGCUAGCAGCUGUUAUUGUUAUUAUCAGCACACGAGGACCCCAAUGUCUCAUCAGCUUUGAGGCAAACUCUACUCUCCCUCGGCCCAGAGGAGCUCGGCUUUGAUUGAUCUCCCCGACCUCAGCUCCUUCCCUAGCCCUGCUGCUUGCUCCCUGGGGGUGGGGGCGGGCAUCAGUCUCUCCUGAGUCUCCGGGCACCUCGGUGCAGGGCCCCUUACACAUCUGCCCUGCGGGCUAGGGCCAAAAUUCCUGAACCUCCCUCCUCCCAGAGGCAUCGACAGGACCGGCCCAACUCCAUCCCUCCUUCCCUCCAUCCCUCUAGGUGGGUGCGGGGGCGCAGGCUGACGCUUGCUGGCGCCCAGGCCACUCUGUCCUUCUGCCCUCCCGGUCCAGGUCUGGCUGCCCAAGUGGACUCUUCUCCCUCCUCGGGAGCCCGAGGACCUGGCCUAGCCGGCCCCUUCGGACUAGAUAAACAAAACCAUGCCCCUUUCUCAGCACUCGCUGGCUCUUGUCACCUGAUCCUUUCCCCUCUCAAAGGCUUGGACCGCCUGGAGGAGCAAGUUUGAGGAGAGACUCAGGCCUGGUUGGAGGGGAGAGGGGUCUGGACCCGGGGGGACCAGAAUCAGGCAGUAGUGUUGGUCU